ACGAACGCUGGCGGCAGGCUUAACACAUGCAAGUCGAGCGCCCCGCAAGGGGAGCGGCAGACGGGUGAGUAACGCGUGGGAAUCUACCCAUCCCUACGGAACAACUCCGGGAAACUGGAGCUAAUACCGUAUACGCCCUUCGGGGGAAAGAUUUAUCGGGGAUGGAUGAGCCCGCGUUGGAUUAGCUAGUUGGUGGGGUAAUGGCCUUCCAAGGCGACGAUCCAUAGCUGGUCUGAGAGGAUGAUCAGCCACACUGGGACUGAGACACGGCCCAGACUCCUACGGGAGGCAGCAGUGGGGAAUAUUGGACAAUGGGCGAAAGCCUGAUCCAGCCAUGCCGCGUGAGUGAUGAAGGCCCUAGGGUUGUAAAGCUCUUUCACCGGUGAAGAUAAUGACGGUAACCGGAGAAGAAGCCCCGGCUAACUUCGU
rnacentral:rRNA from 1 species